UACUGGGCGUAAGCGCGCGUAGGUGGUUUGGUAAGUCAGAUGUGAAAGCCCUGGGCUCAACCUGGGAAUUGCAUUUGAUACUGCCUCACUAGAGUAUGGUAGAGGGAAGCGGAAUUCCGGGUGUAGCGGUGAAAUGCGUAGAUAUCCGGAGGAACAUCAGUGGCGAAGGCGGCUUCCUGGACCAAUACUGACACUGAGGUGCGAAAGCGUGGGUAGCAAACAGGAUUAGAUACCCUGGUAGUCCACGCCGUAAACGAUGUCAACUAGCCGUUGGACUCAUUAUAAGGGUUUAGUGGCGCAUCUAACGCGAUAAGUUGACCGCCUGGGGAGUACGGCCGCGAGGUUAAAACUCAAAGGAAUUGACGG
rnacentral:rRNA from 1 species